UUUAAGCAACAAUGAGUUUUUCGUCUAACUUUAGUCGUCCAUCUUAUUUAAAAAUAUUUUAUAAUUAGUAUUUUUAUUAUUAUGAGAUGAUGAAAUAUGAAUAGUACCUGUGACUUAUAUUUUUAAUUUUUUUUCAAUUUUUUUAAUUAAGACAUAUAAUUAAAAUUAAGCAUGGAAAAUCAUGUAGAAGUACUCGAU
rfam:Oryza nivara chromosome 2, whole genome shotgun sequence.